rnacentral:piRNA from 1 species
UGGGCUGUCGCUAAAGCUAUGGUAUCUCAGU